GCCCUAAAUCCUCUCAACUGGGAUACCAAACCCGUAACACAUAAUGCUGUACAUUCACUUGGCUUUGACCCAAUCUUACCGGUUAACCAUGUUAACCCCAAUAACUCACAACCCAAAAUCCCUUAAUAGCGAGGGACUCGAACCUCCCUAGGGACCGUCUUCUGGGGGAAACUUUACCACACCCAGUGGUAACCAACUCCGGAGCGCACCGCCCGAGGGGGAGCUACCUCCCUCAAGCCAAGACUUAUCGUGAGUAUCGAUCAAUCCUCAACUUGAGGAUUCAUAGCCACUCGUCACAAUGCCAUUGUCAUAAUAGGUUUCUACCUAUUUAAUCAUGCCACUCUCUAUGUCAUCUUGGUCCAAUGCCACUCUUGGUUAAACUAUGUUUAACAGCUAUAUCCUCUAUGCCAAACAAUGUCUCUAUUGUCAAUAUCGCCUUUGUUUACUAAUGUCCAAGUCCAUCUCUCACAUUCACACAAUAAUAGGGUCCUAACAUACAUGUCCAUUAUGGUUCCACCAUUCUCUAUGUUCAAUUACGUUAGAAACAUGUCAUUGAAAGCAACCAAGGUUCACAUGUACUUAGCCCUAUCAUGCAUGAAUGAUCCAAAAUACAUAUGCUCAAAUACCAUGAGUGUUUGCUAGGUUCAUGACACUAGGUUUACACUAUACU
rnacentral:lncRNA from 1 species